CUGCAACUCGAGUGCAUGAAGCUGGAAUCGCUAGUAAUCGCGGAUCAGAAUGCCGCGGUGAAUACGUUCCCGGGUCUUGUACACACCGCCCGUCACACCAUGGGAGUCGGGAAUGCCCGAAGCCGGUGGCCAAUCGAGAGAAGGGAGCCGUCGAAGGCAGGCCGGAUGACUGGGGUGAAGUCGUAACAAGGUACC
rnacentral:rRNA from 1 species